rnacentral:lncRNA from 1 species
CUGGCUACAACACUAUAGGGGAUCUGAUGCCCUCUUCUGGUUUCUAUGGGCAUGUACAACCAUGCAGAAUAUAGACAUAUAUUUAGGAGCACACACAAAAUACAAUAAAUGAGUCAAUAGAAUGUCAAUUAGCCAUGUAAGUGCAGAUGUAUAAUUCUUACUUCUGCCAUACUGCUUCAUCUGUCCAUCUUUAUGCCAAUAGGAUAUGUUCUUUUAUAUAUCUUAUAAUUAUACACUAGUAAACUGGUAUAUGUGUGUGUGUGUGUGUGUGUGUGUGUGUGUGCACAUGAGUGUGGCUUCUUACAGAGGCCAGAAGAGGUGUCAGACACCCUCGAGCUGUGGUUACAGGCAGUCAUGAGCCCCUAGUUUGGAUUCUGGGAACCAGAACCUAAGUCCCCUGCAAAGCAGAACCUAUGAUCUCUGAAGCACUGAGGCAUCUCUCUCUCUCCAGUCCCUAC